UGAAUGACUGCCUCCAAGGCAGAGGAACAACACUAUAGGAACACGACGAGAACAAGGAAGUCAUUCCAGACUACCGCAAACAGCAACAGGACUGACCAUAUAAGCAUAUGCAUGUAAAACAUGCACGAUUCUUCAAAAUAGGAACAAAGAGACUGAAAACUACUGACCGUCAUAGUAGUUGCUUCCAGUGUCACUCAGAUCUACCCCUUGUCUACUGUAGCGCACGCCGAGCUCAGCAGGGAAGGAGCACUCAAUUCUGGCGCCUGGUUUUGACAAAGCUCAAAGCAGCAGCAGCAAGAAAAGUCCUCUCAGCAUGAAGAAAAAACAGCCUGGUAAUUUAACUCAAACAGCAAGAAAACUGCUGAGCACAUGAACUGCAGUUUUCAAGGGCGUGUAACCCAGCCAACUGUAAGCAGAUUUUCAAUACUAACCAGGGAGAAUCCAGUGGAAAUGGAGCGUCUCCUCCCCCACACAUCCAUGGUGUAGCUCCAUAGCUCUGGUCUCCAGCAGCUGCAGAUGCCUGGGUUCCCUGAAGAGUCUGACCCACCCCAUGGGAGCAGCAGCCCCUGAAGCAGGCAAGAAUCCCACCUACUCAGCACCUUCUCUCUCCUCCCUCUCCCCUCCCCAUCUCUACUGAUGACUCUGGAUGCACAAAGGGGAAACCCUACCCAUUGCUGUCCCUAGCUGGCCCAGGUGUGGAGGGAGCCCCAGAACUGCUCCAUCCAGGGCUAUGGGGCACAGCUGUAGAGUUGAAUGUAGCCAGAGACAGCUGGUGGCUUCACCCCCACCUCCUGCUGCUGCUGUCCCUGUUGGAGCCCAAUUCCUCUCACAGUUCUCCCUGUAGGGUCUGGCUAGAGCAGGGAAGCAGUGGCCAGGACAUCAGCAGUGAUGCAAGUCUUCUCUUCCUAUGCCAAAAGCUUAAGACACAGAGGAAGGGAGGGGGAAAUUCUUACCUGAUUUCAAAAAGUCCCCAGCUUCUGCCAUCACAGCAUGGUGUGCCUGCCCAUGAGGUGGGGUAAGGGGAGCACAGGGAAAGGAGCAGGGGGCGCAGCCAACCUGGAUCAAAACCCUGAAUCUGCCUAGGAGUACUGGUAAAAUGUUAUAUAAUUAUUCCUCUGCCAAAUUUCCAAGUCACUGUUUCAAAGUAUAACAUUGCUAGACCUUUAAGAGAGCAACAUAUACAUAUUUUUUUUCAAAAGGCAGGCAGGCAGAAUCAUGGUGGUUUCAGUA